UCCUACUGUGCGUGAUAGUGAUAGUGUUAAUGUGCGGGGGUCGCUGUACGGUAUAGACUCGGUGAGCCGAAGGGCCUGUUUUUGCACUGUAUCUCUAAACUAAACUAAUUCACUGAUUCUCUUGUGCCCUUGCCUCUGUCUCUGCAUCCGAUUUCACCAACGGAUACGGAGGACCUCCACUCCCAGUAACCUUCCUCCUCAACCCUCCUUCUAUGCUGUCUUGGACAAGCACAAGCCACCAGUCGUCUAUAUUGAUGGACCCACGCUCUAAGAUCUUGGCUAUCAUGGACCUUCUGUGGACCAACGAGCAUAACCUGGCCAAUCUGCACACUGACAGUUGCCGUCUUGCCCGAUGAGAUCCAGAGCAUCUGCAAUGUUCCCUCGCUCAUUCCAACAAAGACUCUGCUGGGUUCGAUCCAGAGUAUGAGGCACUGCCCUAACCAUUAGAGAUGGAUGCCAUGUUGAAAUUAACCUCAAGUUUUCAGAAAGGAAUGGAUGGAUCCUGCUUAUUGCUCCCUCCAGUAAGAUGGUGGUGGUAUGCUUCAUCCGCCAGAUCACCACAACAGCAGUCUGCAGUACCAUCGGGCAGCUCAAUAUGAUGAUGGUAGCCGGAAUCACCAGUACAAUGAUCCAGACUUCCAAUUUGUACAUUGACAUAAUUGAAACCGUCUUAUUGGGUUAAAGCACAGAAUGGAUUUAGAUGAAGGAAAUAAUAUGAGCCACUGAAUUCCAUCAUCACCAAAAAAGCAUACCAUUGUUUCUACUUCCUCAGAAGACAAGGAUAUUUGACAUUAAUUUAAAGACUCUUACCAACUUCUGCAGUUGAACUGUAAAAAACAUACUGCCGGGUUGUAUCACAGCUUGGUUUGGGAACAGCUUUGUCCAAGACCACAAGAAAUUGCAGAGUUGUGGAUCACUCCAGCACACA